CGGCGGACGGGUGAGUAAUGCUUAGGAAUCUGCCUAUUAGUGGGGGACAACAUCUCGAAAGGGAUGCUAAUACCGCAUACGUCCUACGGGAGAAAGCAGGGGACCUUCGGGCCUUGCGCUAAUAGAUGAGCCUAAGUCGGAUUAGCUAGUUGGUGGGGUAAAGGCCUACCAAGGCGACGAUCUGUAGCGGGUCUGAGAGGAUGAUCCGCCACACUGGGACUGAGACACGGCCCAG
rnacentral:rRNA from 2 species